ACCGGCGCACGGGUGAGUAACGCGUAUCCAACCUUACCAUGACUGGGGAAUAACCUUGCGAAAGUAAGACUAAUACCCCAUGGUCAUGGAUGGGGAUGCGUCUGAUUAGCUUGUUGGCGGGGUAACGGCCCACCAAGGCGACGAUCAGUAGGGGUUCUGAGAGGAAGGUCCCCCACAUUGGAACUGAGACACGGUCCAAACUCCUACGGGAGGCAGCAGUGAGGAAUAUUGGUCAAUGGACGAGAGUCUGAACCAGCCAAGUAGCGUGCAGGAUGACGGCCUAUGGGUUGUAAACUGCUUUUAUACGGGAAUAUGUACCGUAUGAAUAAGGACCGGCUAAUUCCGUGCCAGCAGCCGCGGUAAUACGGAAGGUCCGGGCGUUAUCCGGAUUUAUUGGGUUUAAAGGGAGCGUAGGCCGCCGAUUAAGCGUGUUGUGAAAUGCCGCAGCUCAACUGUGGCACUGCAGCGCGAACUGGUUGGCUUGAGUGCGCGGAAGGCAGGCGGAAUUUGUGGUGUAGCGGUGAAAUGCUUAGAUAUCACGAAGAACCCCGAUUGCGAAGGCAGCUUGCCGCAGCGUAACUGACGCUGAAGCUCGAAAGUGCGGGUAUCGAACAGGAUUAGAUACCCUGGUAGUCCGCACGGUAAACGAUGGAUGCCCGCUUUCCG
rnacentral:rRNA from 1 species